rnacentral:rRNA from 1 species
CCGGCGAUGUCCGAAUGGGGAAACCCAGUGCAAUUCGUUGCACUAUCGUUAACUGAAUACAUAGGUUAACGAGGCGAACCGGGGGAACUGAAACAUCUAAGUACCCCGAGGAAAAGAAAUCAACCGAGAUUCCCCCAGUAGCGGCGAGCGAACGGGGAGCAGCCCAGAGUCUGAAUCAGCUUGUGUGUUAGUGGAACGGUCUGGAAAGUCCGACGGUACAGGGUGAUAGUCCCGUACACCAAAAUGCACAGGUUGUGAACUCGAAGAGUAGGGCGGGACACGUGGUAUCCUGUCUGAAUAUGGGGGGACCAUCCUCCAAGGCUAAAUACUCCUGACUGACCGAUAGUGAACCAGUACCGUGAGGGAAAGGCGAAAAGAACCCCGGCGAGGGGAGUGAAAAAGAACCUGAAACCGUGUACGUACAAGCAGUGGGAGCACCUUCGGGUGUGACUGCGUACCUUUUGUAUAAUGGGUCAGCGACUUAUAUUCUGUAGCAAGGUUAACCGUAUAGGGGAGCCGCAGGGAAACCGAGUCUUAACUGGGCGUUAAGUUGCAGGGUAUAGACCCGAAACCCGGUGAUCUAGCCAUGGGCAGGUUGAAGGUUGGGUAACACUAACUGGAGGACCGAACCGACUAAUGUUGAAAAAUUAGCGGAUGACUUGUGGCUGGGGGUGAAAGGCCAAUCAAACCGGGAGAUAGCUGGUUCUCCCCGAAAGCUAUUUAGGUAGCGCCUCGUGAACUCAUCUUCGGGGGUAGAGCACUGUUUCGGCUAGGGGGUCAUCCCGACUUACCAACCCGAUGCAAACUACGAAUACCGAAGAAUGUUAUCACGGGAGACACACGGCGGGUGCUAACGUCCGUCGUGAAGAGGGAAACAACCCAGACCGCCAGCUAAGGUCCCAAAGUCAUGGUUAAGUGGGAAACGAUGUGGGAAGGCACAGACAGCCAGGAUGUUGGCUUAGAAGCAGCCAUCAUUUAAAGAAAGCGUAAUAGCUCACUGGUCGAGUCGGCCUGCGCGGAAGAUGUAACGGGGCUAAACCAUGCACCGAAGCUGCGGCAGCGACACUAUGUGUUGUUGGGUAGGGGAGCGUUCUGUAAGCCUGCGAAGGUGACCUGUGAGGGUUGCUGGAGGUAUCAGAAGUGCGAAUGCUGACAUAAGUAACGAUAAAGCGGGUGAAAAGCCCGCUCGCCGGAAGACCAAGGGUUCCUGUCCAACGUUAAUCGGGGCAGGGUGAGUCGACCCCUAAGGCGAGGCCGAAAGGCGUAGUCGAUGGGAAACAGGUUAAUAUUCCUGUACUUGGUGUUACUGCGAAGGGGGGACGGAGAAGGCUAUGUUAGCCGGGCGACGGUUGUCCCGGUUUAAGCAUGUAGGCUGGUUAUCCAGGCAAAUCCGGAUAAUCAAGGCUGAGGUGUGAUGACGAGGCACUACGGUGCUGAAGUAACAAAUGCCCUGCUUCCAGGAAAAGCCUCUAAGCAUCAGGUAACAUCAAAUCGUACCCCAAACCGACACAGGUGGUCAGGUAGAGAAUACCAAGGCGCUUGAGAGAACUCGGGUGAAGGAACUAGGCAAAAUGGUGCCGUAACUUCGGGAGAAGGCACGCUGGUGUGUAGGUGAAGUCCCUGCGGAUGGAGCUGAGACCAGUCGAAGAUACCAGCUGGCUGCAACUGUUUAUUAAAAACACAGCACUGUGCAAACACGAAAGUGGACGUAUACGGUGUGACGCCUGCCCGGUGCCGGAAGGUUAAUUGAUGGGGUUAUCCGUAAGGAGAAGCUCUUGAUCGAAGCCCCGGUAAACGGCGGCCGUAACUAUAACGGUCCUAAGGUAGCGAAAUUCCUUGUCGGGUAAGUUCCGACCUGCACGAAUGGCGUAAUGAUGGCCAGGCUGUCUCCACCCGAGACUCAGUGAAAUUGAACUCGCUGUGAAGAUGCAGUGUACCCGCGGCAAGACGGAAAGACCCCGUGAACCUUUACUAUAGCUUGACACUGAACAUUGAGCCUUGAUGUGUAGGAUAGGUGGGAGGCUUUGAAGCGUGGACGCCAGUCUGCGUGGAGCCAACCUUGAAAUACCACCCUUUAAUGUUUGAUGUUCUAACGUUGGCCCCUUACCGGGGUUGCGGACAGUGUCUGGUGGGUAGUUUGACUGGGGCGGUCUCCUCCCAAAGCGUAACGGAGGAGCACGAAGGUUAGCUAAUCCUGGUCGGACAUCAGGAGGUUAGUGCAAUGGCAUAAGCUAGCUUGACUGCGAGCGUGACGGCGCGAGCAGGUGCGAAAGCAGGUCAUAGUGAUCCGGUGGUUCUGAAUGGAAGGGCCAUCGCUCAACGGAUAAAAGGUACUCCGGGGAUAACAGGCUGAUACCGCCCAAGAGUUCAUAUCGACGGCGGUGUUUGGCACCUCGAUGUCGGCUCAUCACAUCCUGGGGCUGAAGUAGGUCCCAAGGGUAUGGCUGUUCGCCAUUUAAAGUGGUACGCGAGCUGGGUUUAGAACGUCGUGAGACAGUUCGGUCCCUAUCUGCCGUGGGCGCUGGAGAAUUGAGGGGGGCUGCUCCUAGUACGAGAGGACCGGAGUGGACGCAUCACUGGUGUUCGGGUUGUCAUGCCAAUGGCACUGCCCGGUAGCUAAAUGCGGAAGAGAUAAGUGCUGAAAGCAUCUAAGCACGAAACUUGCCCCGAGAUGAGUUCUCCCUGAGACUUUAAGUCUCCUGAAGGAACGUU